rnacentral:ncRNA from 1 species
GAUAAAACCCGGGAUAACCGGGCAAAAGGGCAGGCGGGGCUGAUACGCGUGCCCCCUAUCAAACCAUUUGGUCUGAUUGAAUAGUGCAACAGCAAUUCGCUUUUAGUGAAUGAAAGCUGCAGUAAUCGAUUGGAAAUCACCGAAUGGAGCGAAGGCAAAGUUCACUCAAGUGCCCAGUGAUGUUCGCACAUCACUGAACGCGAAAUGGCACUUGAGGAGUGAGGGGAUUUGGAAUAAAGAUCAAUUCCGUUAGAAGACACCCCGAGCUUGGCUUGUUUGAAUGUGUAGCGGGGUUGUGUUCCUCCGGGAAUGCGGCCCACUACGUUGCUCUGACAGACUUGCCCGGACUGAAAUCCCUCGGGAUUAAGGUCUGAGUCAGAAGCUUGAGUCCUCUUUGAGCUCAAGUGGAACGCAGUUGCCUAAAAGGUAUUGAUUGCUUACUGAGACAUCAGCACGGCGGAAACCGCAAAUUGGCCGGAAACGGCCAGCCGGACGAAAUCCUCUGAAAGGAGAACAAAAGCCGGGGUUCCCGUCGGGAUAGCCACGCGCCCAAGACGACGGUCGUGAAAACUAUCCGAAACCGUGGCGAUGCGGCAAAAACUGCAGCGCUGCAAAGUAAACGAAAUGGCAAUCUGAGGGUUAAGAGGCGAGACCCGUGGCACAGGCGAACGCAUCGUCACAAGCGAUGGCUGACCUGCUGCCAAAGGGCUAGGAUGCGAACGGAUUACUUGCGUGUCCAGUCUGGUCCGCAUGUCAGUGGCCGCAACCACUGGCUGAGCGGGCAAAUAAACCUCACCCAAUAAUCCAUGUGCCGCAAGGCCUUGGACGGCCCUGCUAUGAGGCCGGCAACUCCGAAAGUCACGGAGAAUAGCGUCGGGGAGCAACCGACCCACACUGUGGGUGCCAAAUGGUUGCAACGGGAAAGAGCGCGUGGCGACCGCC